UACGAAGGGGGCUAGCGUUGCUCGGAAUCACUGGGCGUAAAGGGUGCGUAGGCGGGUCUUUAAGUCAGGGUGAAAUCCUGGAGCUCAACUCCAGAACUGCCUUUGAUACUGAGGAUCUUGAGUUCGGGAGAGGUGAGUGGAACUGCGAGUGUAGAGGUGAAAUUCGUAGAUAUUCGCAAGAACACCAGUGGCGAAGGCGGCUCACUGGCCCGAUACUGACGCUGAGGCACGGAAAGCGUGGGGAGCAAACAGGG
rnacentral:rRNA from 1 species